AUAUACUGUCAUUCGAAUAUCAACCAUGGUGGAUCUCGAUAUUUUUCAUCCUUUGUUCUGGGUUUAAUCUCCAGAUGGCGCUAAAUUACAUCACUUGUAAGAAUGUUUUCAGUAGUAAACACGUAUAUAUUUGGUGUAUACCAAAAUAGUAUUCAAGUAGUUUACUACAUUAUAAAUUGUAUUCAUUAUUAUUUUUAUUAUUUAAUAAAAAAAUCAAAACUUGAUUCAUUCGAUAAAUUGUACAUAUUUGGUUUGAGGAUUGAUCGUACAAUUUAUGAUCAGGCACAGUUUGAAGUUUUUUUUUACACCGUGGUGUAACUACGCAACAUGAAAUUGAAUCCCUUUACAACACCGAUAGACACGAACAGAUGUUUUUAUUUUGUUUUGCUUUUACCUUUUUACAACUUCUUGAUGGAAACUAUAAAUUCAACAAAAUAAAUAAAAUUAAUUGUAAUUUGUUUGUGACCCAAAAAUAUAUAAUCGACUGUGCGAUAAUAUUCAAAUGUGGCCAAUGCAUAAUUAUGUGUGGGCAUUCAUACCCAGCCCAAAGGUGGCUGUCACAAGUUUUACCAUGUAAUUGAAAGAUAGAACUAUUUAGAUAACAUUUUUGAAAGAAAAUCCAGGCAUUUCUUUCAUUUCUCGCGCUAUUUAACUGAUUUAAAAAAGAGGAAAAUAUUGAAUAAAUGAAAAUAACUUGUUUGCAUGCAAAUUUGACUGGAAGCGGGCAUAGCCUCAGGGCUGUAUUUCUGUAGUUUUACGAAGCUGUUCUACCUCCUUAUUGUACCAUGGGAGCAACUGAUGUAUUCACUUUUGGAUGAUUCCAGGAGUGAAGAGGACUGGCUGAAUGAGGAAUCAGACGAAGAAAACGUAUUUGAAAACAGUGCAAAAUUAGUGAAAGGUUGGCUGUCUUACCAACUUUCGGCAUUAAGUCAUCUAGCAGACCUAACAUAAAUUUAACCGGCGCCUCCAACCAUGUCAGCUUCUCCGGGGUUGGGAUUUGACAAAACUCCACCUCUAAAUACUCGUCAACACAUUCUGAAAACAAAACUUUCUAAAUAAAGAGCAUGCAAAAAUAAAUAUUAAUUUCAACUUAUUUUCAA